CAUUUCCCUCCCCGUCUCUAUCCAAAGCUAACCCUAGCCGCCCUAAUCUCCUCUCAACUUCAAAUGACCUAAACCUUAGCCGUCGCCCGCUGAAAAUCGUUUCAUGGCGGCGGCCGGUCUCCAAACUCACCUAAAUCUUCACCCUACAAUCACCCUUCCCCCUCCUUUCCAAAUCCAUGAACAAUUCUCCCUGAAUCCCCCUUGAACCCGUCGAAUCUCAAAUCUGAGAACCACAAAAAAACACAAUGUUCUUGCAUGUUCCGGUUCUCUGCAAUUCUUUAUGUUCGUGUAGUUCGAAACUCACCCUAAAUGGAUUGUUCUUGACAAGAACAAUCAUUUGGGGUCAAUUCCGAGCUAUUUCGAAAUCCAGCCAUAGGUCCUGCCUCAACCCGUCUUUAUCUUUUUAGGUAUUCACUUGUCCUUCUUUGUCUUGCUUUAAUUGUUCUAAAAAAGUUUUAAAAAAGUUGGUUAUUUUAAUUAAGAUUUUAUGUUUAGAUUACUUUUUCAUUUAGGUUCUGUUUUAUUCUGUUUAAUUCCGUUUAAUUUCUUGUUUGUUAGCCAAUAAGUUAGCUUAUGAGUCAGUAGUAUUAAUUAGUUCAAUCUGAGUUCGUAACUGUUCCAGGUAGAUCUUUGUGGUAUUUUCCAUCAUUUCUUCUAUUGUUCUUCCCUUUAUCUUCUUCACAAUUAUUUUCCUAUUUAGUUUGCAUGCUUUAGGAUUUUCAGUAUUCUAUUAUUAUGUGUUUGUUUGUCUUGCCUAUGUUAAUAUGAAUUAGCAUGAUUAUUUCUGAGCUUUGGCAGUCUCUUUGAUUUAAUUUCGAUAACUGUUGGUUUUUGUUGAUGUUUGCUAUGGUUUGUAAAUCAUUAGACACUUCUAGGGUUUAAUUCAACAAAAGGAAAACUUAAGGGGGGGGGGGGUGUCAUUGGAAUGGUGUGUAAAUAGAAACUGAGAUAGGGGUUCUAGAACAUGGGCAACUAGCCCUAUUUGGCCAGUACAAAAUGCUGAAACCAAUUAGAGACAACCAACCGUCCAAUUCUGUUAAAAAAAUGCUUUGAGGGCUGCUUUCAAAGGGAAUAAUUCCUGACUUGGAGAGCACAUAACAGCUCUUUUAGGGUAUAUAUAGAACCCUUCUUCAUUCAUUAGGAUAAAGAUUCAGACCCUAAAAACACCCAAAAAGUUCAGGUAUACUAUUCCAUCAGUAGCUAAUCUAUUUUUCUGAUUUUCACCAAAGUUAGAACAAGUUCUCUUGGGAAUUUCUAAUUUUCAAAGGUCUAAACAUGGUUUAAGUUUGGAGCUGUGAUACUGCUGUAUCUCUACUGCUAAUUCCAUUUUCUGAUUUGUUCUCUGUCGAUUUCAGCUCACUGCUUUAUUUUUGCUUUUUAUCACCAGGUAUCUCUUGGACUUUGAGUGACCAUUGAAGUGUAGGAAUGAUUUUUUCCUUUGAAAUAUGUAUUUGUAAUAUGAAGUUAAUGUUCAAAAUUUUGAAUUUCAGUUUUCUUUUACAUGUGUUUCUUCUAAGUUAUUUAGCUUUCUAGUUUUCUCAGCUUUUAUAUAAGUGUUUUGGAUCUGCUUGAUAGUCAAUAGGAAUUUCGUGUAUGAAUGUUCGAAUUAGUUGGUCUUUUCAUGUACUGUUCAGAAUUUCAAGAUGGUAAACAACUCGAGUAGCUUAUUUGGUUG
rnacentral:lncRNA from 1 species